rnacentral:rRNA from 1 species
CAGCCGCCGCGGUAAUACGUAGGGUGCGAGCGUUAAUCGGAAUUACUGGGCGUAAAGCGUGCGCAGGCGGUUAUAUAAGACAGAUGUGAAAUCCCCGGGCUCAACCUGGGACCUGCAUUUGUGACUGUAUAGCUAGAGUACGGUAGAGGGGGAUGGAAUUCCGCGUGUAGCAGUGAAAUGCGUAGAUAUGCGGAGGAACACCGAUGGCGAAGGCAAUCCCCUGGACCUGUACUGACGCUCAUGCACGAAAGCGUGGGGAGCAAACAGGAUUAGAUACCCGUGUAGUCCCUGUCUCUUAUAA